rfam:Streptomyces afghaniensis 772 genomic scaffold STAFG_scaffold1512, whole genome shotgun sequence.
ACCUGUUGCGGGCGAGGUGAGUGGGUGCCCGCAACACCAGACAGAACACCGUGCCACGGGAACAACGGGGCACUUCAGGGCGUU